rnacentral:rRNA from 1 species
UACGAAGGGGGCUAGCGUUGCUCGGAAUCACUGGGCGUAAAGGGUGCGUAGGCGGGUCUUAAGUCAGGGGUGAAAUCCUGGAGCUCAACUCCAGAACUGCCUUUGAUACUGAGGAUCUUGAGUACGGGAGAGGUGAGUGGAACUGCGAGUGUAGAGGUGAAAUUCGUAGAUAUUCGGAGGAACACCAGUGGCGAAGGCGGCUCACUGGUCCAUUACUGACGCUGAGGUGCGAAAGCGUGGGGAGCAAACAGG